UCAUCAGAGUCUGCUUACAGAAUGAGAGCUUUACUAGUUUUAUCAAAGUCAGAAAAAUAGUAAUGGAAAGACACGUGCAACACCAGCAGGAAGGGCUACUCAAACGUGCAGUGCUUGGUCCCUCACCCGCACUGGCAGGGAAUGGCUUCCUGCAGGACUGGCUGAAGCUCUCUUGGGCAUAAAUUAAUUUUUCCCCUACCGAAACGUAAGGAAAAGUAGUUCCAGCACUGAAAUCUUACACUCUGUGGAGAUGUCAAAACCUGAGGACACAACCUGUUUCAAGAAAUUCAGGUGCCUCUUAUCUCUGUUCCUGGAUAGUUCUGUCCUAGCUGAUAAUGUUCAGCCACCACCAGCCCAAGGGCAGCUGGAAGAAUGAAGAAACAGAUAUGAUUAUGUCCUUGCCAUCUGUAGUGCCUCUGCAGCCCAUGGAGCACCAUUGGGGUGCAGAGACCCCCCUGCAGCCCAUGGAGGAGCCCAUGCUGGAGCAGGUGGAUGCCUGAAGGAGACUGUGACCCCAUGGGAGGCCCAUGAUGGAGCAGGGUCCUGCUGG
rnacentral:lncRNA from 1 species